CUACGCCCACCGCACGCGCCGCUACUGGGGAGUCACGUAGCCGACGCCGAAUAGCUAGCGCGUGGCCGUGGGCGUCAACGGCCGCAGAGAAGCUACAAACUCCUAACGCAGCGAACCAGACCUCUGGAUCGCCGCCGUCAACAGCGUAGAGUCGGCCGAGGCGCACAGCUGGUUGAACAGCGCUAGCGACAUGGACCGUGAGCCCGGACGCCCGCACGAAGGAGUCGACGAGCUCCAGGAAGAACCCGAUACGAAGCCCACCGAGGUCUCGGGCAUUGCAACAAGUGCCGCCGUCGAGGAGGAGUUGGGAUCAGAACCUGAGCCGGGAGCGGCGGCAGCGGAAGCAGCAGCAGGAGAACAGGACCAGGUUGGGGCGGGAGCUCCCGACCCCAUGGUCUACGAGAUCCAGAAGGGCAGCGGCGGCGAAGAGGAGGAGUUUCCACAGGAGCCGAUGCUGGCGGACGCGGAGGAUCCGCAGCCCUCGGACAGGCAGCCACGCUUCCACCGAUGCUCGUUCCGCCGGCUGCAACUGAAGGAGCUGGAGAGCGUUUUCCAGCGCAGCCAGUACCCCAAUGUAUUCGCUCGGUAAGUGGCUUGCUCUGGAGGCGCCCAAAAUGUUCUGGGACGUUAGGGCUCUUCUUCCGACGCCUUUGGCGCUGUCCCUUCCCCCAGAGCCCGAACUCGGUGGGGGGCUCGAAGCCCUUGGAGGCUGCCGGCCCUUGGGCUCUCAGGUUGGGGCGGUGCGGUGAGUGAGUGAAUUAACUCCGGAAACGUAGGUUUCGGUGAAUAACGUUUCAUUGGAUCGGGGUUUAGGUCAGUGGGAGGCGAGUGAGACCCGGUUGUGCAAGUACAGGAUUGAAUCUUGCCUUUAUUUAAAAUUUUAGAUAAUUUGGUGGUCGUGCAAUUUUGCGCGUUUAGUCUUUAAAUAUUUAUUUGGUUGCACCUGGGAUCUAGCUCCCUGACCAGGGAUUGAACUGCGCCCCCUGCCUGGGGAGCGAGAUGUCUUAGCCACUGGACCACCAGGGAAGUCUCUGUGCAUUUAAUCUUGAUUCUUAAAUAGUGCAUUAAAAACGCUUAAUAUUGAAUACUGAGUUUUUCAGCGCUCCCAUAAAUUUUGCGCACAAAGGAAAAUUCUCCCUAAAGAGAGCCUGGAACUGGGUAUUACAAAAGUAUGUUCCCUGGGCGUUUGGGAGAAUACACAUUUUAAAACAAACAUAAAAUGUACAUCGUUUAUCUAAUUCUGUCCACAACUCCAAAUACUGAAUAUUUGCCAUUUUCUCCCCCUAGGAAGGAGCUUGUGAUUCCAAUCGAUGGGAGCGAAAUCAAAGUGCAGUUCAGCAAGCCUGAAAACAACAAUUUGUGAGGGCAGGAAUUAUAAAACCUGCUUCAAGUCUUGGACACUUUCGUCCUAGACAUUCUAAAGUUUGUUUGUUUUCUCUUUUUUUGAUGCCUUUUCCAUGUUUAGCAAAUUAGUUUUGAUCUUUGGGGGCUUUGGCAAGUGGAAAUGGGAUAAGUAAACACCAGUUUAUGGAAAUUGCCAAUUAUCAGAAGUAAUUUUGUGAUUUCCUAAAAGAGCAAGAAAAGGAAAUCACUGUUGUUCCUAUUUCCUGUGAAAAAUUAAACAUAAUAAAAUUCAAUUUUCUUUAUUGAAC
ensembl:lncRNA rhox homeobox family member 1-like